UACGGAGGGGGCUAGCGUUGUUCGGAAUUACUGGGCGUAAAGCGCACGUAGGCGGCUUGGUAAGUUAGAGGUGAAAGCCCGGAGCUCAACUCCGGAAUAGCCUUUAAGACUGCCGAGCUAGCAGGUGAGAGAGGUGAGUGGAAUUCCGAGUGUAGAGGUGAAAUUCGUAGAUAUUCGGAAGAACACCAGUGGCGAAGGCGGCUCACUGGCUCAUACUGGACGCUGAGGUGCGAAAGCGUGGGGAGCAAACAGG
rnacentral:rRNA from 1 species